AAUAAGUCAUGGAAAAGUAGGAGGACCACUAGAGUAAAAAGCAUCCUCUGGAUAAACAUGUGAAAUCUGUACAAAAGACCUGUAACAAAAGCUGCAAAUAUCGACCUCAUGGUGGCCCUGAUGUGAAAAUCUAAGCUUUACGUAAGUCUGCAAGCAAUAACAAGUCAGCUGAUGUAGUUCACUGUGGUUUAGCUAGUUCCUGUUUUUGUAUAUACAAGACUUACUGAAUGAAGAGUUCAAGCAGACAUCAAGGUGACAGCCGUCAGUCACGAGGAGAAGAUUGGUUUGAAAUUUUCACAUCAAAUUUGUCAGAGAAGAAGAACAAAGCAUUAACGGAUGAUGCCAACGAUGACACUUUGCCUGCUGUUGUGGGUUCUUGGUACUGGAGUUAUUUUAUCAGAGGGAGAUGAUCCACCUUUUGAUGAUGAAGGUUAUACUAAUUUUUUUACUUAUGGCGAAAUAAAUUCAACCUUAAUAAUAAAUGACACUGAAGUGUUGCUUUCUCGAUCGUCAUGUAAUAUCUGUCUCCUCUGCUCUAUGUCUAUAGUUCUAAUUUGUAAAUAUCUUUACAUGAUGCUGACUCCAAACAUACUGUACUUCUGACAUACUAGUGAAAUAGACUGCUUAACAAAUUUAUUGGACCAUAAGUUUAUGAACAGCAUUUGUAAUUACCAAAAUAGUUGUAUCUGUUUCUGCAGUGGUUAAUCCAUCACUUUAUGGAUGCUCUUUAAUCAAAAUGAUAUGUUGAUGGCAAAAUCAAAUCAGGUCCAUAAAUAUUUGGACAGAGACAACUUUUUUUGUAAUUCUGGUUCUGUACAUUACCACACUGAAUUUUAAAUGAAACAGCUCAGCUAUAAAUAUAAAUAUAAAUAUCCAUCCAUCCAUCCAUCCAUCCAUCAAUUCUCUUCUGCUUAUCCUUGGCAUGGUCUCGGUGGGGAUGGAGUCUAUUAUUACUAUUUUUAUUGAAUGUUUAAUGAGUAAAUGUAACAGCUUAACUUCAGUUGUUAUUUCACUUUCAGAUUAUCAAAGUGUUGAUAAUGAUGUUGGCAGUGGUGAAAUUCCAGAAAAAGACAGGACACCCUCCUCAGCUCCCAGAAACCAUGGACUGAAAACAGCUGGUGCUGAAAAUGCUGACCUCUCUUCCCUUGGCCUGAGCUAUGUUCUUUUAGCUUUGUGUAUGCUAGUAUAAAAAAAAAAGUUUGUUUGUUUUUUCUUUUGAAAAGUGUGAGCUGCUUGUAAAUACACAGGAAACCUGUUCACCCCCCACCUGCAAGUUUUAUCAUCCUGCUCUUACUAAGCUGAUUAGUGGUUUGGUUGUUAAAGUGAUUACUUCUGUGUUUCUCGCCACAUGAUCAUAUCACACAUGUUUAUGAGCUACUGAUAUUCAGCAUCUGCAACCACAAAUCCACUAAGAGCGAGGUGUUCCGUUUUAUUUUCAGAUGAAUAAGCCAUUAGAAAUAAAACAAUCUUUAUUUUUCACCAAUUCUAACCAAGAAAACUUCAGAUUGGCACAUAAGCUGCAAACACCUGACAUAUAAACCAUGAAAACUGUGCCUUCUUUAUUGGUGCAGUCACCUUUUCUAGGUACGCAAAUUUCAGGGUUGAAUCCCCCAGUUGCCAUCAUUGUAAUUACUCAUGCAUGCAUGUGGUAUAUUUUAAAGAACUCACUGACAUUUGUGUGUGUGCAAUCAUCUUGGACUGGCAAGGGUUUGAAACUCAAGUUGGUCCUCAGAGUACACAAACUGAAACCUGCUAGUUUCAAAGUGCAGGUGAGCUGCUGUAGAAGCAACAACAUCUACCCAUUGUUGGGUGUACAUGAAAACAAAUGAGAGAAGAAGAUGUGUGACCUGUAAAGCCCUUGUGAACUUGUAGUAAGUAGUAAGUCUAAAUUUAAAUACAUACAGGGUUUAAAAUGACUUUAAAGUUCAAAUUUCCUCAAGACUGGCCUGCACAGAGUCCUGACCUCAACCCGAUCGAACACUUCUGGGAUGAAUUGAAGUGGAGACUGUGAGCCAAGUCUUUAUAUCCAACAUCAGUGUCUGACCUCACAGAUGCACUUCUGGAAGAAUGGUGAAAAAUUUUCAUAAACUCUCCUAAACCUAAGUUGAACAUGUUUGGGCCAACAUCAUAUGAAACCCUGUCACUCAAGUUCACAUGCAUGUGAUGGCAGAGAAGUAAAUACCUUUGGUUAUAUAGUGCAUGUAAAUCUGACCACUGCGCUGUUAAUACUCAUAUUAAAUAAAGGAACAGCUCAAAGAACAAACAGUAUAAAUUCACUUUGUUCACUUUGUGUCAGGGCUGGCUCUGUGACUCAGCACUUUCAGCUGGUUUUGAUCUCUUGUUAUAUUUUGAAGAUAAUGCGGAGUUUGGGAUUAUUAAUUGGCUGUGAAUUUUAGUUCAGUCUGUUUCACCCAGGCCUUCUGUGCUAUUUGUUAUGUAUUUCUUGUCAGCGUGUUUCAUGUUGUCAAGCCUGUGUCGUCACAUCUACGUCUCUCCAUGUUUCCUGUUUUAUUUUGAAAGUCUUGUGUUUCUUUGUUUAACGUGUUUUACUCUUCUCCUGUGAUGUCCUUAUGUUCAUUUGAGUCAGCUGUUUCCCCGUGUGUUUCCACUUCCCCUGUGUGUAUUUAAGUCCUCCUUCUUCCUUUGUUCUGUGUCAGGUCGUCAGUUUUCCUGCCCUCUGUGUCACUUCAGGUUUCCAAGAUUUUCAUGAUUUUGUUCAGGGCAUGUUCAUGUGUCUAGUUCGUGUUUGUAUUUCACAGUUUCUUUCAUAGCUGCACAAAAUCAUGUUCAUAGUCGUCAUAGUCAUUUCAAGUGUUUCCAGUUUAGGUUUUAGUUUAGCCCUUUCCACUGUUCAUGUUGUUUUGUUUUGUUUUGCACUCUUGUCAUAAGCCCUAUUAAAGUCUCGCGUUUUGUUUAAAGUUC